rnacentral:rRNA from 1 species
CUGUAUGGCCAUACCACGCCGAUCUUGUCUGAUCUCAGAAGCUAAGCAGUGUUGGACCUGAUUAGUUCUUGCAAGAAAGAAUGCUAAACUUU